rnacentral:misc_RNA from 1 species
UCUCCGUAGGUGAACCUGCGGAGGGAUCAUUACAGAGUUCGUGCCCUCGCGGGUAGAUCUCCCACCCUAUGUUAUUGCUACCUUUGUUGCUUUGGCGGGCCGCCCUCGGCUACCGGCCCGGGCUGGUACGCGCCCGCCAGAGGACCCCAAACCCUGAACGUCAGUGUCGUCUGAGUACUAUACAAUAGUUAAAACUUUCAACAACGGAUCUCUUGGUUCUG